rnacentral:tRNA from 3 species
AACAAGAUGGCUGAUUAAAGCAAAGAGUUGUAACCUCUUUUAUAUAGAUUAAAAUUCUAUUCUUCGUUA